GCAAAGCCAGCUGCAAAGAUGGAGGAGAAGAGGAAAAGGAGGAGGUGGUUGUGGUUAUGAAAGGUUGCCGCGGCAGGACAGCCGGUUAUAGUUUUCUUCUUGGAGAGGGGAGGGGGGGGCAGGAAGAAAUCGAUCUAGGGUAGGCCGGGCCCAGUAAUUGCAGCUUCCCAUCCUGCACGCACAUCUGCAAGGAAAGCAGCCGCAGCAGCAGCAGGAACGCGCCAUUUUUCCCCGAUCUUCUUCCAGAUUCUCUGAUUUUAUCAAGGACUGUUUUCAGCCGAUCAGUGAAUCCAUGAGAGAAAAUUCAAACUGAGGGCUCCCAAGAAGGAUUUCCUUUUCUCUUCAAGGGAUGUCCCUACAGAAUUGGCUAAACAGCAUUUGACCUUUCUGACUACCAAUCCCCAUCUGUAAGUGAAGGCUACCAUAGGUCCAGCUCUGAAAACCAAAGCCUUCUCCUCCUUCCUGAUUUGUCACCGAUCAGCCACUUACAAAGAAGGAAAACAUGAGUUCCAAGAAUGAAUCAGGUAAGUAAAAAAUCAGGCAAAAAUGACUGAAAAAGUGGGUAGUUUUCUUGGGUUUUGUCAGGUUGGAACAAAAAGAUGUAUGAUUUUGGGCUGGUGAAGAUGUGGCUAUUUUUGAUUCUGCUAAUGAAGGUCAGAAUUUCAUUUGGGAAUUUGUAUCUCUUUAUACUUUGCAGUAAUUUAAUUG